rnacentral:rRNA from 1 species
AUUGAACGCUGGCGGCAUGCCUUACACAUGCAAGUCGAACGGCAGCACGGGUGCUUGCCCCUGGUGGCGAGUGGCGAACGGGUGAGUAAUACAUCUGAACAUGUCCUGUAGUGGGGGAUAGCCAGGCGAAAGCCGGAUUAAUACCGCAUACGAUCUACGUAUGAAAGCGGGGGACCUUCGGGCCUCGCGCUUUGGGGUUGGCCGAUGACGGAUUAGCUAGUUGGUAGGGUAAAGGCCUACCAAGGCGACGAUCAGUAGCUGGUCUGAGAGGACGACCAGCCACACUGGGACUGAGACACGGCCCAGACUCCUACGGGAGGCAGCAGUGGGGAAUUUUGGACAAUGGGCGAAAGCCUGAUCCAGCAAUGCCGCGUGUGUGAAGAAGGCCUUCGGGUUGUAAAGCACUUUUGUCAGGAAAGAAAUCCUUGGCCCUAAUACGGUCGGGGGAUGACGGUACCGGAAGAAUAAGCACCGGCUAACUACGUG